rnacentral:rRNA from 1 species
CCCGGGCCUUGUACACACCGCCCGUCACACCAUGGGAGUUGGUUUUACCUGAAGACGGUGCGCUAACCGCAAGGAGGGCGAUUACCACGGCAGGGUUCGUGACUGGGGUG